GCGAGAUCGUGACCUGAGCUGAAGUCGGACGCUCAACCGACUGAGCCACCCAGGCGCCCCAUGAGUUUGAGAGAAAACUGGCCUACCCUGUUCACUGUCUCCGAGUGAAAAAGCACAUCCAGGGGAGGCCUCUGCAAACCUCAGACUGAGAUGGUGGAGCCAGUUCCUCUACAGCAGUGUCUUAAGUUGAACCCAUUGAAUCAUUUGGGAAUUUUGUUUGCAUGUGGAUUCUGAUUGUGUAGGUCCAAGUGGGGCAUGAAUUCUCUGGCAAUGUUGAUGUUGCUGGUUCAACUGCACACUCAGAAAAAAGACUUUUGCAGAACUUUUGCAGAGGUUCCUUUUAUGCUAGCUCACUGCACUUUCCACUUGUGAAGAGGAACUUGACAUUGUGUGUAAAACAUUCUACAUAAAUGGUGUUAGCUAGGAACUAAGCUAAAUGUCGUUCAUAGAAGGUUGAGUCCAGCUUACAGAAUUUUAUUACAAUUUUUAUUUUAUUUUGAAAAAUUUUA